rnacentral:rRNA from 1 species
GACGAACGCUGGCGGCGUGCUUAACACAUGCAAGUCGAACGGAAAGGCCCUGCUUUUGUGGGGUGCUCGAGUGGCGAACGGGUGAGUAACACGUGAGUAACCUGCCCUUGACUUUGGGAUAACUUCAGGAAACUGGGGCUAAUACCGGAUAGGAUCUCCUGCUGCAUGGUGGGGGUUGGAACGUUUCGGCGGUUGGGGAUGGAUUCGCGGCUUAUCAGCUUGUUGGUGGGGUAGUGGCUUACCAAGGCUUUGACGGGUAGCCGGCCUGAGAGGGUGACCGGCCACAUUGGGACUGAGAUACGGCGCAGACUCCUACGGGAGGCAGCAGUGGGGAAUAUUGCACAAUGGGCGGAAGCCUGAUGCAGAAACGCCGCGUGCGGGAUGACGGCCUUCGGGUUGUAAACCGCUUUCGCCUGUGACGAAGCGUGAGUGACGGUAAUGGGUAAAGAAGCACCGGCUAACUACGUG